rnacentral:sRNA from 1 species
AGACAGUUCGGCAAGGAGGCCGGGCCCCUGUCCCGCCUCUGAGGGCGGAGGACUCAGCCUGCACCGGACCCAAGCGAGGGGCAGUCUGGCCUCUGCUGGCAGAAGCAGCGCUUCCAAGUAUUUUCAUAUGGUGGCUUUGCAGAGCUGCGCGGUCCAGACGAGGGUUUCAGGCUGCAAAGCGGGAAAGUCUUGGGGGCCGCUCUGCGCUCCAAGACACGCCCACAAUCUCUUCUACGUCGUGCAACAUUCAAGUAGGAGGCCUCCUUCCCGCGCUUUCGCGCCCACAGGCUGGGCCAAUCACAGUGCCGCACUUUUCAUACUGCCCAACAGGCGGUGGGCGGGCCGCCGGUGACCGUUACCCGACAGGCGCCGCGGCUGCUCCGGUGGCGCCACUGGCGCGGAGGCUGCUGCGGAGAGCGGGGCGCUGGCCCGUGGAGGCGGCAGCGGCGGCGGCUAUCUAGCGGCUCCGACAUUAUAUAUCUUUGAGUGAUGCAGGCCACUGCAGUGGUGGAGACAGCAUCUGGUAAAGGCUACCACAGUAAUGGAGGCAACCUCCAAAAAGAUAAACCUUCAAAUCCAAAGAAAGAAAAUGUGUUAUUAUCCUCCAAUGGUUGUGAUGAAGUCAAAGUGACUUUUCCUGAUGAUGACUGGGAUUCUUUGACACUAGAGCAAAGAGCUAAUAAUAAAGAAAUCAGCAAUAUUGACAAAAUGGAUUUAUUAGAACCAUUUUUUUCAGUGAGUCAAGAUACUAACACAGAGAGUACUCACUUUCAGUCAAGUGAACUUGAAGACAGUACUGACUAUGCUUUCUUGAAUAAAACAUAUUCUAUACCUUAUUCAGAGUCAAAACUAAAGAAGGAAAGUCUUACUCCUUUAAGUUCAGAAUUAGAUCCUGAAGUGCAGAAAAAAGAGGAGGUGUUUUUUGAUAUUUUGGAACAUCAAGAUAAGACUGUUGGCUUGGAAAGAAUCUACAAUAUUUCAGAUACUAAUUACAGAGAAAGUGCUGAAGAUACACAAAAGCAUGAUACAGAUGAAGACUCACAGCAGGAAUAUCACAGUGCAGAAGAACAAGAAUACAUAUGUAACCAUUUAUCUUUUGACCAAACAAAAACAUUAGGUAUAUCUAAUCCAGAAGUUGUUGAAUUAGGAAAUGCAGGUUAUGAAGUUAAAUGUGCUAGCAAUGUAGAAGAUAAUCGUGUUAACUCGGGAAGUGGUUCAAUCAUCUCAUUAGAUUCACUUGAUGUUUAUGGACAAGAAGAGUCACUUCAUGUCUCCAAAUUUCAGAAUUCUGUUAUGUUAAGAGAAUAUCAUGACCUAAAGCAUGAAAAGUGUAAGGAACAAGAGACUAGUUCAAUGUACCACACUGUAUUUGAUGGCAGUGUACUAAGAAGCAAUUCUUCAGGAAACCAGGAAUCUCAAUCUAAGAGUGGUUCCUUGAGCCCUCAAAAAGUAUUAAAAAUGAAAAUUUAUACUGAAAACAUGAAAUCUCAAAUAAAUGAAAGUAAAGAUUUUUGUGGAAAUAAAAUUGUUGAGAACAAAAUGUUACUGCACCUUGAAAAUCCUAGCACAUUACCACAGGAUAAAGCUUUAGAGACAUUACCCCAACCCUGUAAAGAUUGUCAAACUUCCUGGACCUCUGUUUUUGAUGAUUCAAUAAUUUCUGCCUGUGGAUAUUAUGAAAGCCUACAAAACACCUCUGACUCAGCCUUAGAUUUUUCUGCUAUGCUACCAAAGAUCGCAGUCAGAGAUAAUCAGGCAAUAGAAGAUAAUACUUCCCUAAAAGUUGCUCAUAGCAGUACCGCAAAGAAAACAUGCUUUCACAAUAUACAAGGAAUGUGUACUAAAUCAUUGAGAGAUGCAGCAAGUUGUACAGUCACAAUUAAUCAGACAGUGGACGUUAGCACUGAUUUUAGGGCUUGUUUCACAACCAGCAGGGCAACAAGUGCGAGACCUUCUGUGGUAUCUACAUCAAGCAACACAGAGAUAACAAUGAUGAAUAAAAAACGGCCUGAUGAAUGGCAAAAUGAGAAACAAAAAAGUGUGGCUUGUAGUACAGAUUGGUCAUACAGUGAAGAUUGUAUAGAUACACAGAUGGCUAUAACAAAAGGAUCAGGAAAAUCUCCCUCAGUUGACAGUUUAAAACCUAAUGGAAAUUUUCUAAAUAAGGAUUUCCUGGAAUUAAGAAAACCAUGUGGUAUCACAGACCUAAAGAAACAUCCUGAGAGGGAAGUUCAACUUUUUAAAGAUACAGAAAAGGAUUUGCCAUCAAUGUGCUGUCAGAAGAUAAUGCAGAGAGCCAUGAAAGCAGAGCUGCACCUUUUAAAUGUUCACUAUCAGAUGUGUCGUCGCCAUUGUUGUGAUAUUUACAAACUUGUAAUGGAAAAUAGGGAAGGAUUAAAUAUGUGUUUAUUAAUUUAAAAUCUGUUUUUUCUUAGAGAUUUGUCACUAGCUUUAAGUUUAUUCUAGAGAGUUUCUCUAAUUUUCAUUUUUGAAGAGUAAAAUGAGGAGUAGAUUGUUACUGGGUUUGUUAGUUAGCCUAAGGGUAAUAGAACCCUUGAGUUUCAUGGAGGGGCCACAGUGCAUGGUUGACAUGAUGAAUCCAGUGAAAACAUAGAUUUGUUGUUUCUUUAUAAAGUUCAAGUAAGGAUGAAGUUAGAGAGUUUUUGCAUGACAUGCUGCCACACUUUCUCUGGCUUAUGUGUCAAGAGUUGUUUGUACUGCCUUUAGAAAAACACAUUUACUGUGGUUCAUUUUUUUGUUUCACUCAGCAUUUAAAAGAAAAUAUUUAGAGUUCUAGUAAAAUUAGAACCAAGUGGGGUUGGACAAGGUGGCUUGUGCCUAUAAUGCCAGCACUCUGGGAAGCUGAGGCAGGAGAAUCACUUAAGGCCAAGAGUUCAAGACCAAUGUGGGUAACAUAAUGAGACCCCCGUCUCUACAAUACUUUUUUUUACAAAUUAGCUGAGGAUUGUGGCACACAUGUAGUCCUAGCAACUUGCGAGGCUGAGACAGGAGGAUUGCUUGAGCCCAGGAGUUCAAGAACCAAGUGUAUAAUAUAAAAUUAGUGUUAAAUGGAUGACUUGGGCCUAAAUAAUUUAGUUUUGUGCACUCAACUUUUGAACAGGAAUUUAUCAAGUAAUUCUGCCAAGAAGGAAUUGGGAUCAGCACUACUGUCUCUUUUGAGGGACUUAAAAGUUAGAUAUGUGACUUUGAAAGAAAAAAUACACAAAGGCAUACCGCUAGAAGAGCUGCCCCCACUGUCACUAGAAUCAAAAUUAUUAUCUACCUUCUCUACUUUUGCUUCCAGGCUAAUGAAAAAGGAAACACAUGUCUUUUCAGAAGCAGGUGCUGAACAAGAUGAUCAGAGGGCUCAUGAUGUUGAUGUUUCUUCGAACCUAAAAAAGACACUCUCUCAAAUGUCUUUAUCAUCUGACAAUAGUCAUGCUACACAAAACAUAUCACCCAAGAAAGAUGACUUUAAAAAUGGUGAUAUAAAUGCAGACUUUAGUCAACUGAAACUUGAUGAUAAAGACUGCAGACAUUACCAAGAGAUAAGUGAAGACUGGUCUGAUGCUAAAGAGAACCUGACAGGAGUUGACAUCUCCGGAACACAAGAAAAUCAAAUAGAACAAGACAGGGGGAAUUUGGAUCUUACAGUAGAAAUGAAGAAUGUUGAACCCUCACAAAGAGAUAAAAGUUAUUUGAUACAUGUUGGUGGCCUCUGCCCUUCAGUAUCUGAGGCCGAUUUAAGGUCUCAUUUCCAAAAAUACCAAGUUUCUGAAAUUUCAAUUUAUGAUUCUUCUACUAAUUACAGAUAUGCAUCUCUUGCUUUUACAAAAAACAGCGAUGCAAAGAUAGCUGUGAAGGAAAUGAAUGGGAUAGAAAUAAAUGGAAAGUCAGUAAAUGUGCGGCCUGUUAAAAUUCUUGGAGAAUAUACAUCACCACUUUCCUCCAAAAAUGGGAAUAGAAUUAGUUCGAAUAAUUUAGAGAAAAGCACCAACAAACAAAUCCACUCAGCCUUCUCCAUUUCUAGAUUGCCCAGAACUAGGCCAUGGCAGCUGGGUUCUGAGCAAGACAGUGAGGUUUUCCCUUCCAACCAGGGUGUCAAGAAGAAUUGUAAGCAGAUUGAAUCUGCUAAAUUAUUACCUGAUACACCUGUUCAAUUCAUACCUCCAAAUACAUUGAACCUUCGUAGCUUUACCAAGAUCAUAAAGAGACUGGCUGAACUGCAUCCAGAAGUCAGCAGAGACCAUAUUAUAAAUGCACUUCAGGAAGUGAGAAUAAGACAUAAAGGUUUUCUGAAUGGCUUAUCUAUUAAUACUAUUGUGGAGAUGACUUCAUCUCUUCUGAAAAACUCUGCUUCCAGUUAGGAAUUCAAAAACAAUAAAGAGAAUUUCCUUGGAAAGUGUGUUUCCUCCUUCAGAGAAUGUUCUACAGCACUUAGGAAAAAGUAGUAAUAACAAGAUGAUGUAAUUAAAUAGGCUCUAUAAAUGGGCUAAGCUGUUAAAAUAUUCUAUUUUAUAUCCCUCCUUUAAAAUCUAGCAACAGUUGUCUAUACAAUAUUAAGAUCUUCUCUAUAUAUUUAAAGUUAAAGUAUAAUUUUAAUAAGUUUUUAAAUUUUUUUAUUUCAAUUUUGUUACUUAGAACAUCAAGGUGCAUAUUUGUGAUCUAAAGAAAUUGUCUUGUCCAUUUUUAAAACCUUUAUUAAGUCACUUUUAAAAUGUAUUGACCAAGAAGGAGGUUUGUUGUUACAUCAGUGUUUGUGAAAUGAUUUCUAUACAUAAAAAAUGUAAUUUACCUGAACUUUGUCUUAAGACUCUUACAUUGGAUUACAGGAUAACAGAUAAAUAAACUGUAUAGAUACAUUCAGUAUCAUACAACAUUUUGGAAUGUGUAUGCUUUCAGGCUUCCAAGAUAAUUAAAUUACUGUCAUGAUACAUUUCAUGCAUUUUUAUGACUUCAGUAUAAAACAUUCAGGUGUGUUAGCCUUCACUGGGAAGGGUAAACUUGUAUGUGCUUUGGUAAAGUACUUAAAUUCCAAUGUUCCCUAUAGUGCUUGCAUUCAUUUUGUGAAAAGUUCUGUUGUAUUGUUAGAACAAUUUUCAAAGGCUAAUUUUAUGCCUUAUCUGAUAGAAAUAUAGAAUAGACGGUUAAUUGCUUACUUUUUAAAAGGAAUAUAAUAUUUAAGUUCCAUUUUUAUUAAUAGUAAGAUUAACAUUUAAGUCUGCAUUUUCUUUAAAUGUUUUAAAUGUUUAUAGCAUUCAAUGUUUAGUUGGUUUUACUUGACUAAAAAUUAGCCCUUUAACGUUUAUAUUUGAUGUAUUUAUAUUUAAUAAAGGCAUCUAAUCUUUAGUA